AACAAAUACUAAAACUGGAAGGAUACAGAGAAGAUUAGCAUGACCCCUGCACAAGGAUGACAUGCAAAUUUGCAAAGCAUUUCAUAAAUUU
rnacentral:snRNA from 1 species